AAGCCAGCAUGGAGGGACAAGGCAGCAGCAGCCGUGUUCCUAGUAUGUACUCGUGCAGGCUAUUUGAUGCAUUUCCACCUUCCAGGCACUAAUCAUAGGGCAAUUGUCUUGUAGGAGCGAGCUCCCAAACGGAGCUUGGUUUGAUGAAGCAGAAGGAGGGUGAGGAGCCGAAGACGAGCGGCAGCGCGGGAAAAGACAAGGAGGAUGAAAUCGUGGCUCUUGGGGUAUGUGAUUUCUUCAACAACGGAAAUGAGUUAGUAUAUGAAUGUCUCGCCCCCGUGUCCGCCAUUGUGGCUGCUCGUCCUCGUCACUGGUUUCCUUUUUCCCCCAUCUGAUGGAACCAGUGCCUCGUGGUGAUUUGCUGGUCAUUUGGACUGAUGACAGUGUGGGGAACGCUUUCUCUGUCAGAUGCACAAACAGAGUGACGGGGCUAUUCGAUAAUGUAAGGAGUCUAAAUCGCUUACAUUAUGUUCAAGCUAGCUGGAUCUAGCAAAAGGCAUUUGGUUCGGUAUGUUGGGAAUUUUUCACACGGCUGAUGGAAUAGAGCUUUUGGGUUUUGUUGGUGGGAAUGGAUUUUAGCGCUAUUCGGUCAAUUCUGGACUCACAAAUCAGAUUUUGCACCGCAGGGGAGGGGACUGCGGCAAGGAGACCCCUUCUUCCCUCUUCUUUUUGUCCUGGUGGUGGACUGCCUCGGCCGUCUCAUGGAUGUCGCUCUUAAUCAAACUAAUGUGCUGUUGGCACCGUUGGGCCGUCAGAUUGUGAAACAUCGCGCUUCUCAUGGAUCGAUCAUAUUCACCCAGCCUUUGCUUUGUGAAAUCUCCGCCGUCUCUCAAAUUCUGUAGUUAUUUGGUAAUGCCACGGGUCUGAAAACUAACAAGCUCAAGAGCUAGCAAGAUCAUCCCUAUUCAGUACUGUCCUGGUCAGAUUCGUCCUGUCUGCUAUGCCCAUUUUCCAGUUGCUUGCUGCUGAACAACCUAAAUGGGUGUUGAAGCAAAUUGAUAGAUUAAGAUUGGCUUUUUUAUUUGGGCUGGCUCGCUGACUCGGUUACUGGAGGAAAGUGGUUAGUAAAUUGGUCCCUCUUGCACUUCUGGGCUUGGCAUCCAUGAUCUUCACCGCCAAAGCAAUGCACUCAAGUUGAGGUGGCUUUGGCAGUACUCCAGCUGCCCGGACGGACAAACCUUGGCGCCAAUUGAUAAGGAGGUCAAGGCCAUCUUUUGUGCUUCAACGUGCUGGCAGAUUGGAGGUCAAGGGCUCAAGGCCAUCCUUUUGGCAUGAUCAUUGGCUGGAUCCUGGAUGGAAUGGUUCUGGGCUUUUCGCCUUUGCAUACCCGGCCCAACGCUUUUCAAGCACAGCAAGACGAAUUACCCAUUCCACCUUAGGCCGGCCUAUGACACUGAUUCUCUGACUAAACUGGUGGUUGCAGUCCAUGGAUGGAAUUCCUUUUCAGCCAAGGAAGGACUUCACCUCACGGUGUACUAUAUGAGCUAACAGAAUUUUCAACCUGAGGGCCAACUGAUUUCCUGGGCAUUUGCAGUGCCAUAUUUGAUGAGCUGAACUCCUGGUUAUAGGCUACAAUAAUCAAAGGAGUCUUGUGGCUGGGGUAGUUGCUCAGCCGUGAAUACACGAGUGCAUUUGUAAUUACUUCCUAGGAUUUUCUUUUCCUUUCUCUUUCUCAUUUUCAAACUUCUUAAGAGUUCUUUCCGUGUCUCUUCCAUGCAUUUUGGCUGCGUUUCGUCAAAAAGUAGGACAACACAAAAGCUCAACCAAUAGGCUACAACCUUAAUCUGAACAUUUGUCUACAGAACUUAUGUAUCCCUCUUUCUGCUUCUUCUAUGUCCGCUGUUGGGUUGGCUAUGUACCACAAAAACUCUAGUAUUUUGCUGAAAAAGAGUUACUGUUAUGCUUGUUACUUUGUUUCAAGUCUGAUUCCACAAGUUUCUUAGCACUUCUGACAUAGCUCUGUUCUUCUCACUACAACAGGAGCAGAAGCCGGAGGGUUCUGACAAGCAGGAGGACAAGGCGAGCGCCAGCGCAGGAGGGGACG
rnacentral:lncRNA from 1 species